UACGUAGGGUGCAAGCGUUGUCCGGAAUUAUUGGGCGUAAAGAGCUUGUAGGCGGUUUGUCGCGUCUGCUGUGAAAUUUCGGGGCUCAACCCCGGACUUGCAGUGGGUACGGGCAGACUAGAGUGUGGUAGGGGAGACUGGAAUUCCUGGUGUAGCGGUGGAAUGCGCAGAUAUCAGGAGGAACACCGGUGGCGAAGGCGGGUCUCUGGGCCGAUACUGACGCUGAGGAGCGAAAGCGUGGGGAGCGAACAGG
rnacentral:rRNA from 1 species